rnacentral:lncRNA from 1 species
AGAUGUCGCGAGCCCAGGGGAGGGGGCACUUACCACAGAGGCGCUGUUCUUAACAUCAAUGUUAUUUUCUCAGAGCCUGCUGAGCGGGGCCCUUUGCCCCGGGGCCCUGGCUCUGAGUUCGGGCUCCACCUCCCAGGCCCCUUCCACCACCCACGUGGCUGGCUGAGCGCCCAUCCACCUGCCCUGUGCCGCGGGCGGGGGGCUUUCAGGAGGCCCGGCUGUGCCCCAACAAUGCUGCUUUGUGCCAAGAGGGACCCAGAGCCUUGUAAAGGAGGAGCCCCUGCCACCAUCUCCCCAGUUUUGGAGGCACUUCGGGGGAGCAGGAGGUGAGAGGGGGCUUGUAUUGAUGAGGGCUCUAGGAUAGGAAGGGCAGCCAAGCCCUGCUGGGGUGGGCAGGGGUGGGGGCUGAAGCCUGUGCACCCCACCCCCCAGCACCGCAGUGAGUCCCUGGCAGUUGGGAAGGAGCAGACCUGCCGUCCCUAAGAGCAGCU